UACGAGGGGGGCGAGCGUUGUUCGGAUUUAUUGGGCGUAAAGAGCUCGUAGGCGGUUUGUCGCGUCGUCCGUGAAAACUCACAGCUUAACUGUGAGCUUGCGGUCGAUACGGGCAGGCUAGAGUUCGGUAGGGGAGACUGGAAUUCCUGGUGUAGCGGUGAAAUGCGCAGAUAUCAGGAGGAACACCGGUGGCGAAGGCGGGUCUCUGGGCCGAUACUGACGCUGAGGAGCGAAAGCGUGGGGAGCGAACAGG
rnacentral:rRNA from 1 species